AAACCGCUUAGGGGUUAAGCCCGAUGAACCCGAAUAUCUGAUGUGAGGAAUUCAAUAUUAGUUGUAUUAUUUUAUAUGAUACAAGUGGUAUGCACUUUUCUCAUAGUAAGACAUUGUAAUCCAUUGAUGCUAUAUCUCUUUAUUGAGAUGAUUUAACAUACGGACAAAAUGUUUAUGAUUAUUCUAUCAGUGACACGUUUACGUGUUGCAUGAAUAAAAUUCGUUUUGUACUUGUUUAAAUAGUCGAUGGAUUUUAUUAAAAAUCAUGCUUGCAAUUCACUUUGCGUUUCGUAUUAGUUAUUUUUAAUUUCUAAUAGCAGAAAUGGCAUGUAUUUGAUUAACAAUGCGAUAGAUUUGGGAAGCCUUCGGGACCCGUCUUGAAACACGGACCAAGGAGUCUAACAUAUGUGCAAGUCAUUGAGUAUCUUGUUGAAACCUAAUGGCGUAAUUAAAAUGACUAUAUUUUUAAUUUGGGAUCACAAGUAAUGUUCAAAUUUAUGCAUUAUUUUUUAAUCCCGGGGCGUUCUAUACGAACAUGGUGUAAGCGAUUAUGUCCUCUGUUUAAGAGCGUACCUUGAGCACAUAUGCUGU
rnacentral:rRNA from 1 species